GUCAGUUUGUCCGAGUGGUUAAGGAGUGAGACUCGAAAUCUCAUGGGCUUCGCCUGCACAGGUUCGAAUCCUGUAGCUGACG
rfam:Stentor coeruleus isolate WM001 SteCoe_contig_1240, whole genome shotgun sequence.